UGGGGUGUACCUCAGUGAUAGAGGACUUACCUAGCAUGUAUGAGGUCCUGGAUUCAAUCCCCAGCACCAUAA
rnacentral:tRNA from 1 species